rnacentral:rRNA from 1 species
CCCUUAGAUGUUCUGGGCCGCACGCGCGCUACACUGAUGCAUUCAACGAGUCUAAAACCUGCUCUGAUAGGGGUGGGUAAUCUUUUGAAUGUGCACCGUGAUUGGGAUAGAUGAUUGCAAUUUUUCAUCUUCAACGAGGAAUGCCUAGUAAACGCAAGUCAUCAGCUUGCAUUGAUUACGUCCCUGCCCUUUGUACACACCGCCCGUCGCUCCUACCGAUUGAAUGAUCCGAUGAAUAUCAUGGAUUGAGGAUGCAAGUAGGUUAGCCUAUCUUCAUCUUCGAGAAGUGAAGUAAAUCUUAUCAUUUAGAGGAAGGAGAAGUCGUAACA